AAUCAACGCUGGCGGCGUGCCUAACACAUGCAAGUCGCACGAGAAAGGGGAGCAAUCCCUGAGUAAAGUGGCGCACGGGUGAGUAACACGUGAAUCAUCUACCUCCGAGUGGGGAAUAACUGAGAGAAAUCUUAGCUAAUACCGCAUAACACUUACGAGUCAAAGCAGCAAUGCGCUUGGAGAGGAGUUCGCGGCCGAUUAGUUAGUUGGCGGGGUAAUGGCCCACCAAGACGAUGAUCGGUAUCCGGCCUGAGAGGGCGCACGGACACACUGGAACUGAAACACGGUCCAGACUCCUACGGGAGGCAGCAGUGGGGAAUUUUGCGCAAUGGGGGAAACCCUGACGCAGCAACGCCGCGUGGAGGAUGAAGUAUCUUGGUACGUAAACUCCUUUCGAUUGGGAAGAUAAUGACGGUACCAAUAGAAGAAGCCCCGGCUAACUUCGUGCCAGCAGCCGCCGUAAC
rnacentral:rRNA from 1 species